AAGUCGUAACAAGGUAACCGUAGGUGAACCUGCGGUUGGAUCAUUAAAAAAAUAUCAUUUGUCCCUUCCUCUCGGGGAAGGAUGAAUGAAAACAUUGUGUGCACUGUAUCUGUCUCUGGCAAAGAUUUCCUUGAUUUCAAACGGAGUGCGGGAUUCCCUUACUCCUUUGGAAUGUGAUGGGGCCUUUGCCGACUUGUUUCUCAACCUUAUUUUAUUUUGUGUCUGAAAUUGUCUUUUUCUGAAAAGAAAGGAAAAUUGAAAACAACUUUUGACAACGGAUCUCUUGGCUCUC
rnacentral:misc_RNA from 1 species